rnacentral:rRNA from 1 species
CCUACGGGUGGCUGCAGUGGGGACUAUUGCACAAUGGGGGAAACCCUGAUGCAGCGACGCCGCGUGAGUGAAGAAGUAUCUCUGUACGUUAAGCUCUAUCAGCAGGGAAGAAAAUGACGGUAGCUUCCUAAGAAGCCCCGGCUAACUACGUGCCAGCAGCCGCGGUAAUACGUAGGGAGCAAGCGUUUACCGGAUUUACUGGGUGUAAAGGGAGCGUAGACGGCAGCACAAGUCUGGAGUGAAAUCCCGGGGCUUAACCCCGGAACUGCUUUGGAAACUGUGCGGCUGGAGUGCAGGAGGGGUAAGCGGAAUUCGUAGUGUAGCGGUGAAAUGCGUAGAUAUUAGGAGGAACACCGGUGGCGAAGGCGGCUUACUGGACUGUAACUGACGUUGAGGCACGAAAGCGUGGGGAGCAAACAGGAUUAGAUACCCGAGUAGUC